ACUCAAAGGAAUAGACGGGGGCCCGCACAAGCGGCGGAGCAUGCGGAUUAAUUCGAUGCAACGCGAAGAACCUUACCUGGGUUUGACAUAUAGGGAAAUCCCUCAGAGAUGGGGGGUCCGUAAGGGUCCUAUACAGGUGGUGCAUGGCUGUCGUCAGCUCGUGUCGUGAGAUGUUGGGUUAAGUCCCGCAACGAGCGCAACCCUCGUCCUAUGUUGCCAGCACGUUAUGGUGGGGACUCAUAGGAGACUGCCGGGGUCAACUCGGAGGAAGGUGGGGAUGACGUCAAGUCAUCAUGCCCCUUAUGUCCAGGGCUUCACGCAUGCUACAAUGGCCGGUACAAAGGGCUGCGAAACUGUAAGGUGGAGCGAAUCCCAAAAAGCCGGUCUCAGUUCGGAUUGGGGUCUGCAACUCGACCCCAUGAAGUCGGAGUCGCUAGUAAUCGCAGAUCAGCAACGCUGCGGUGAAUACGUUCCCGGGCCUUGUACACACCGCCCGU
rnacentral:rRNA from 1 species